rnacentral:tRNA from 2 species
GCGGAUAUGGCGGAACUGGCAGACGCGCAAGAUUUAGGUUCUUGUGUCCCUUGUGGCGUGGAGGUUCGAAUCCUCUUAUCCGCA